rnacentral:lncRNA from 1 species
CAGAAUUGUUGGCACCUGGAUGGUAAAUCUUCAAGUUACUGUGAAACAAGAUCACAAACGAAAAAGUAACAUAGGAAAUACUAAAGACUGGGACGUUUUAUCAGAUUUUACUCAGUUUCAUAUACAGAAGGCUAUAGGACUGUUUUGCCGGAUUCUAAAUGACAACUUUUAAAUCAGAGCCUUGAAAUCUACAGAAGUCCAAUAUAUACUGAGGUAAUUUGCAUAUUCUAAUGAG